rnacentral:rRNA from 1 species
AGAGUUUGAUCCUGGCUCAGGAUGAACGCUAGCGGCAGGCUUAAUACAUGCAAGUUGUACGGGAUAAGUUGUAGCAAUACGAUUUUGAGAGUAGCGCACGGGUGCGUAACGCGUAUGCAACCUACCUAUAACCGGGACACAACCCCGCGAAAGCGGGGCUAAUAUCCCAUAACACUGCGGGAUGGCAUCAUUUUGCAGUUAAAGCUCCGGCGGUUAGAGAUGGGCAUGCGUGACAUUAGCUAGUUGGUGGGGUAACGGCUCACCAAGGCGACGAUGUCUAGGGGUUCUGAGAGGAUUGUCCCCCACACUGGUACUGAGACACGGACCAGACUCCUACGGGAGGCAGCAGUAAGGAAUAUUGGGCAAUGGACGCAAGUCUGACCCAGCCAUGCCGCGUGAAGGAUGAGGGCCCUAUGGGUCGUAAACUUCUUUUGUACGGGAAAAACCCCCGGGUCGGGUAUCCGGGCUGAUGGUACCGUAAGAAUAAGGAUCGGCUAACUCCGUGCCAGCAGCCGCGGUAAUACGGAGGAUCCGAGCGUUAUCCGGAUUUAUUGGGUUUAAAGGGUGCGCAGGCGGAUAAAUAAGUCAGUGGUGAAAUCCUACGGCUCAACUGUAGAACUGCCAUUGAUACUGUUUAUCUUGAGUAUAGUUGGAGUGGGCGGAAUGUGUCAUGUAGCGGUGAAAUGCUUAGAUAUGACACAGAACACCGAUCGCGAAGGCAGCUCACUAAGCUAUAACUGACGCUCAGGCACGAAAGCGUGGGGAUCAAACAGGAUUAGAUACCCUGGUAGUCCACGCUGU